rnacentral:rRNA from 1 species
UACGUAGGGUGCAAGCGUUGUCCGGAAUUAUUGGGCGUAAAGAGCUCGUAGGCGGUCUGUCGCGUCGGCUGUGAAAACUCGGGGCUCAACCCGAGCCUGCAGUCGAUACGGGCAGACUAGAGUGCUGUAGGGGAGACUGGAAUUCCUGGUGUAGCGGUGAAAUGCGCAGAUAUCAGGAGGAACAGCCGGUGGCGAAGGCGGGUCUCUGGGCAGUAACUGACGCUGAGGAGCGAAAGCGUGGGGAGCGAACAGG